rnacentral:lncRNA from 1 species
UUUGGAUUGGCCUGUCAUGUAGGAUGCUUCUGUCUUUAACAUGAGCUGCUCAGUAUGUGUAGAUAAUCUUUUCUAAAGUGCCUUUUUGAAAGAUAUCAUGAAGUGUUACUACUGCUCUCAACAUUGCUACCCUGAAUUUCACAGGCGCUAUCGACAAAGAUAAGUGGGAAAAAGUUGUGAUGGACUACUUUCUGGAGGAUGAUCGUGCCAUGCUGACUCUCUCUGACUCUGAAAAUGAAUCAGACGAUGAGGAAAUCCCUUAUUUAGAAGAAGCUGACCGAGUUUUAAAAUCACUGGAAUGCCCAGUGGAAGCAGAGUAUGAUUGCAAAUGCGGUGGGAGUCGAAAAGAGAGCACAGAAGGCUGGAUUACAAACUAAGGGCAACCAUGGCAUCCAUAACAGAGAGGGAGAAGCGUUCAUCCAUGUAUACUGGUAAUGCCUCCAUGGACAUUGCAGAGGAAAAAUACACAAAGGUGACUACAGUAUGCUGUUGAGCAUGUCUUGAACCACUGAGCCUCACCAGACAGAGUUAAAUCAAUCAAAAGUCCCCAUCCAUCAACUUCCUGUCCUCUUCUACCUGACUCCCAAGAUGCACUGCUUCCAUAAUCCGCGCUCAAAUGGACCACGUCCCACGCCGAUGCACCUUACCGCCUUCGGCCGCCUUCCACUCCACACUGAGCCUCGUUUGCUCGCUCACGUACUUGUGUCCCUCCGCCAUGUCCGCUGUGCAACCAACCCCAUUACUUGUCAAGAGAAUAUCUAUGUUUCCUCUCUGAUCGAUGAGCCAAUCCAUAACCAGAGAGGACGUACCAUUUACUUUUACUGCUCUCCAUUUCAUAUUUACUACUCUUUGUCAAGGGGUGUUUAUCAUUCAAGUAAUAUGGGUUAUUUGCUGGAAUAGCAUGCCAUUGCCAUUUCACAGGAGGUAACAUUUCCUUGUGUGAAUAGCAUGUUGUGAUGGUUAUAGUGUUUUACAUGAUAACGGGCUGAAUGCAUAACACAUUGGUAUACACUCCAGUGUUAAAUCAACACUGACUGUUAAAUGUAACACUGGGCCAGUGUCUAUACGGG